GAUGAACGCUGGCGGCGUGCCUAAUACAUGCAAGUCGAGCGAACAGACGAGGAGCUUGCUCCUCUGACGUUAGCGGCGGACGGGUGAGUAACACGUGGAUAACCUACCUAUAAGACUGGGAUAACUUCGGGAAACCGGAGCUAAUACCGGAUAAUAUAUUGAACCGCAUGGUUCAAUAGUGAAAGACGGUUUUGCUGUCACUUAUAGAUGGAUCCGCGCCGCAUUAGCUAGUUGGUAAGGUAACGGCUUACCAAGGCAACGAUGCGUAGCCGACCUGAGAGGGGAAUCGGCCACAAGGGAAUUGAGACCCGGUCCAGGCCCUUGCGGGGGGCAGGAGUAGGGAAUCUCCCGAAAGGGGCGAAAGCCUGACGGAGAAACCCCGGGGGAUGCGUGAAGGUUUUCGGAUUGUAAAACUCUUUUAUUGGGGAAAAAAAAAUGGGAAAGUAAAUAUCCCCGUUUGGGGGGGACCAAAGCAAAAAGCCGCGGCUAACUACGU
rnacentral:rRNA from 1 species